UACGGAGGGGUGCGGGGCGUUAAAUCGGAAUUACUGGGGCGUAAAAGCGCAUGCAGGUGGUUUUGUUUAAGUCAGAUGUGAAAAGCCCCGGGGGCUCAACCUCGGAAUAGCAUUUUGAAACUGGCAGACUAGAGUACUGUAGAGGGGGGGUAGAAUUUCAGGUGUAGCGGUGAAAUGCGUAGAGAUCUGAAGGAAUACCGGUGGCGAAGGCGGCCCCCUGGACAGAUACUGACACUCAGAUGCGAAAGCGUGGGGGAGCAAACAGG
rnacentral:rRNA from 1 species